rnacentral:lncRNA from 1 species
AACCACACUAACACGGACCAAGCAUGGAAAGCUAACGGGUCAAGCGGAAGCGAGGGAGCAAGCAUGGACACUAACGCUUAAGUUAUGUUUCGUUUUAAGUAUGGGUGUGUGAACGUAUAUAUAUAUGCGGAUGCUAGUAUGCAUGUAUAACCGAAUGCCAGAAGGUAAGUACGUAUGUUCAUAUGAUUUCUAUAUGAUUAUGUUUUGAUGCAAAUAACAGUGUACCUUGAGAAUGAAGAAUAGUACAGGUACAAUGAU